UGAUGAAAGAAAAUGAAGAACAACAACAAGAAAAAACAAGAAAAAAGGAUUAUAUGAUUUUACAUGUUUCUAUA
rnacentral:ribozyme from 12 species